rnacentral:lncRNA from 1 species
CGAUUUUUUCCUUAUCUCUAAUUUAUGAAAUCCAAGCAAAAUUACAAUGUGUAGUUUGAAAAUUAAUUGUCCCAACAAACAAAUAAGCAACCUUUCUCAGAAACUGAAGAAUUUAUAAAUUAAGUUGAAGCAAAAAGUAUAAUUUAGACCUUACUUUCAACAUAGAAACCAACUACCAAAGCACAGUGUUGGGCUGAUGCUAACGCUGGGAGAUGCAAGCUAAGGGCGCAAGUGUGAUUAGAUACGUAAUAACCCUGAACAAGUCUUUCCUGCAGAAAUCAAAGCUUGCGAAAACAAUGAAAUGGCAACUUGCCAAACACAAACUCAUGACACCAAGUGAUUCUGAUAAUUUUCAAGAGGUGGAUAAUCCCAUCCUUGUGCCAGGAGUACAAUUUCAAGCUGGAGGAUCCGUCGUGCCAGAAGAGUGUCUCCGAAUAGGGCAAGAAACCUUGUAUAUGUUCACACACACACACUAUAGACCAACAGGAAGAUUUAAUUCCUAAUCUCAUGUUUCACAGAAUUAUCAAUUAAUUAGACAUUCACUAAUAUAGUUGUGUUACACCUGCACAGCUCGACUAAUUUUAAACCGUGUAGAUGAGGGAUGGAAAAAGAGUCAGGUAAGAGAAGUUUACCCCAUCCGCAAUAGAGCUUCACGAAAGUGCAACACGGUAUCUACAUGAAAUCUCAUUCAUGUACUCGUUAAAUUGCACAAAAUCAACAAUCACAAGUACUUCUACUAAAUUUCAAUCCCAAGCAAACCGGUCCUGGUGAGUAAAAACCAGGUCGAAAACAAUCCAUAUAACCAUCCGAACCAAUGUGAUCGUCGGGGUCGAUUUCCUGGCAGUGUUCACGCCUGGGAUAAGUAACUACAAUUUUAUUUUUUGGUAUCAUUGUCAUCACAAUAUUCUUCUACUGCUCUGUUUUAUCACCUCUUUGACCCAAAAGCCGAAUGUAGGGUUUGAAUUUUGGGUUCAUCUAUUCUUUCAUUUGAGUAUUAUGUCGAGCUUUAAUUAUCAAAGGCAAUGAAAGAAUAGAAAGUGUUUUGAUUAUAAAUAGAUAAAAAUAAGUAAUUAAUAAGUGAUAGUACCGGUAAGUCUCUUAAAAUGUAUGAGAGGGUUCAUGAAUAAUUUAUGAACAUGAGCCAAAUAUCUUUUAGUGUUGAAGAGGGUUCUAAAAACUCGGCUCCAAUGAAGCGAUUUUUUCCUUAUCUCUAAUUUAUGAAAUCCAAGCAAAAUUACAAUGUGUAGUUUGAAAAUUAAUUGUCCCAACAAACAAAUAAGCAACCUUUCUCAGAAACUGAAGAAUUUAUAAAUUAAGUUGAAGCAAAAAGUAUAAUUUAGACCUUACUUUCAACAUAGAAACCAACUACCAAAGCACAGUGUUGGGCUGAUGCUAACACUGGGAGAUGCAAGCUAAGGGCGCAAGUGUGAUUAGAUACGUAAUAACCCUGAACAAGUCUUUCCUGCAGAAAUCAAAGCUUGCGAAAACAAUGAAAUGGCAACUUGCCAAACACAAACUCAUGACACCAAGUGAUUCUGAUAAUUUUCAAGAGGUGGAUAAUCCCAUCCUUGUGCCAGGAGUACAAUUUCAAGCUGGAGGAUCCGUCGUGCCAGAAGAGUGUCUCCGAAUAGGGCAAGAAACCUUGUAUAUGUUCACACACACACACUAUAGACCAACAGGAAGAUUUAAUUCCUAAUCUCAUGUUUCACAGAAUUAUCAAUUAAUUAGACAUUCACUAAUAUAGUUGUGUUACACCUGCACAGCUCGACUAAUUUUAAACCGUGUAGAUGAGGGAUGGAAAAAGAGUCAGGUAAGAGAAGUUUACCCCAUCCGCAAUAGAGCUUCACGAAAGUGCAACACGGUAUCUACAUGAAAUCUCAUUCAUGUACUCGUUAAAUUGCACAAAAUCAACAAUCACAAGCAAUAAUUUCCUUCUGUAAGCAGUUACCAAAGUUAUUG